ensembl:lncRNA
UACCCACACAGCAGUAGACGCCUACGCGGAUCCGCAUCCAAGUCGCGAAACCCGCGUGACUGUCACAUUCGUUUUGGCACCGCCCAGAGGAUCCGCUCCGCCUCCGGGCAGCGCGGUGAAUUCUACUAUCCCACACUGGACCCGUGUCGGAUCCGCUCCGCCUCCGGGCAGCGCGGUGAAUUCUACUGUCCGACACUGGAUCCGUGUCGGAUCCGCAGAAGUGGACGCGCCUUUACUGUAAAGGUUGAACUACAACCUCUUGGUGUGCUCUUGCUACGCCGAGACAAGAGUCAUAUCAGUGGAGAUUUUCUUUCUUAGGACACGGUUGCGCUGAACUAUCUGAGCAAGCGAGGACAUUGCUUUUGUGCCAGUUGACUGGUAUGAUGACGUGAUGGUGUACUGGCCCAGCUGAACGUGUGAAACGGGCAGCUGCUAACGAGGAGAAGCAUGAGCCAAACUGGCCAAGAUAUGACGUAAAGGUCGUCAGAACUUGUGACAACUACAAAGACGCCAUCAGGCUAAUGAAUCAAUAUCAGACCGGCUGCAACGCCUCUGAGCUACAGUCUGAGGCAGAGCAGGAGGGAUAGCUGCCAGAGAAAUGAUUCAGGAAGCCAAUCCAUCGUUUUGGGGACUCUGAUGAGAGUGAAGAAGAGCCAGAAAAUUCGGCUGGUGUAUCAGUUGGAGCCUCAAGCCCAAACCAAUUACACUGGCAGACUCCACCAUCUCACUGAGUGCCAUGCAGCAGAGUCACUACUCCUCAACCUGGAGGAAACUGUCUAGGAACGGCAGUCCCUCCUCAACUCCCUCCACCUCCCGCACCGGCCCUCAACAUGAGGCGAACAGAGGAGCCCUCUUCAAGCCUGGCCUACAGACCAACAUGGCGAGGGGGAGGAAUGACCGAUACCAUUCCCUGCUCUGUGGCUGAGGUCCACAUCCUUAGCCUGCUGGAGACCAUUAAAUAACAACAAGACCAGCUUGUGGCAAAGGUGAACUACCUCAGCAGCAGGCUGAACAGCAACCCGGGGCCAGAUGUUGAGAUGCCGGACAAUAUCCAGUUUCCCCUAGGACAAUUGGAGGCAGUGGAGGCAUUUGAAAUGUUUUUAAAGGAACCGUCAAAUGGCCCAGCUCGACAGAGCGUGGUGCUGUGAGGAAAAACACAGUGACACGGUCAGCCACGGACGCAGAGGUCACCAAGCACGCAAUCAGGUGGUUCAACCUGGCAGCGGAUCGGGCAACGAGGAGACGUGUCCCGCCUCAAGCCACACAAACGGAGUAAUAGGAGAAAUAAG